CGAACGGUAGUUCCGAUUUAUCGGAAUGAGAGUGGCGCACGGGUGCGUAACGCGUAUGCAACCUACCCUAUACAGGGGGAUAGCCCGGAGAAAUCUGGAUUAAUACCCCAUGGUACCAAGUUGAGGCAUUUUGAUUUGGUUAAAGAUUCAUCGGUAUAGGAUGGGCAUGCGUCUGAUUAGCUAGUUGGCGGUGUAACGGACCACCAAGGCGACGAUCAGUAGGGGUUCUGAGAGGAAGGUCCCCCACACUGGCACUGAGAUACGGGCCAGACUCCUACGGGAGGCAGCAGUAGGGAAUAUUGGGCAAUGGACGAGAGUCUGACCCAGCCAUGCCGCGUGCAGGAAGACGGCGUUCUGCGUUGUAAACUGCUUUUAUCUGGGAAGAAAAGGCCCAUGCGUGGGACAUUGCCGGUACCAGAUGAAUAAGCACCGGCUAACUCCGUGCCAGCAGCCGCGGUAAUACGGAGGGUGCAAGCGUUGUCCGGAUUUAUUGGGUUUAAAGGGUGCGUAGGCGGCUAUUUAAGUCAGUGGUGAAAGACUCCGGCUCAACCGGGGCAGUGCCAUUGAUACUGGAUAGCUUGAGUAUUGGAGGGGUACAUGGAAUUGAUGGUGUAGCGGUGAAAUGCAUAGAUACCAUCAGGAACACCGAUAGCGAAGGCAUUGUACUGGCCAAUAACUGACGCUGAUGCACGAAAGCAUGGGGAGCGAACAGGAUUAGAUACCCUGGUAGUCCAUGCCGUAAACGAUGAUUACUCGCUGUUAUGUCUUUAUGAUGUAGCGGCCAAGCGAAAGCGUUAAGU
rnacentral:rRNA from 1 species